CUUUCAAAAGCUGCCUUAUGCAUGCAGCAGCCCGAAGCAGGCAGCGGACUACAGUGCCCAGCAUCCCUCCCAAAGAAUGCCGGAGAGCAGCAGCAGCUGCAGCAGCAGCAAUUCGACAGUUUUGUGCUUUCCUUUCCCACGCAGUGAAGGCUUUUUCUCAGGCAGGGGCAAAGGUGGGCGGGUGGGGGUAAGGGCCGGCUCCUCCCCCCUCUCCGUCCCAGCCACCGGGCUUUCUCCAACCGGCGGGAGCGGCGCGGCGCGGCGAGGGAGGGCGCAGGGCCGCGUUCCGGCGAGGGGGAGUUUCCAGGAAGUGGCCAUAUUGGAUUCAUUCAGUUGCAUCAAUCCAGGGAGGGAGAGAGGGACGCAGGCAGGCAGGGAGGCGAGCGGAGCAGGCAGGGUUCCGGCGGCGGCUUCGCAGAGAGCGUGAGGGAAAGCAGCCGCUGCCGCAGCAGCCCUUUCGGCCCCUGGCUCUGGCCCGCCAUGGCUGCCACGGAUUUGGAGCGCUUUUCGAAUGAAGAAAAACGGAAUCUCUCUCUGGGAGGCCAUGUUGGUUUUGACAGUCUUCCCGAUCAACUUGUCAGUAAGUCAGUGGCACAAGGGUUCAGCUUCAACAUCCUCUGUGUCGGAGAGACUGGCAUUGGGAAAUCCACACUAAUGAACACACUC